rnacentral:rRNA from 1 species
CUGGCGGGGCUGAAUUUCCCUGUCCGAGUUGUGCACUAUAGACACUGGCUCUGCACAUGCACUCCUAACGGCGGAAGUCCGAUGAAACACGGCACCAUGGAAGGUCACAGUCCUGUCCCUGCCGUUCUAGGAUGCGUGCGUACGACCGGUGCUCUGCGAGUCGCGUAGUUUUGUAUUGCUGCGCUAAUGGGGAGGUAGAGCCCUUCUAAAGCUAAAUAUGGCGGCAUGACCGAUAGCACACAAGUACCGCGAGGGAAAGGUGAAAAGCAACUAUGAAGAAUAGGUUGAAACAGUAGUGAAAGCGUUAUUGGGAUAAGGGCUGGCGGAUGCUGGGGCUGCUGGUGCGUGCUUCAGUGCUGUGCCAGUGGACGGCACACACGGGUUGGGAUGCAAGGAACCGCGCCUUAGUGAAUUCGGCCACAUGCGUGGUGUUGUAGCCUGAGUGCGAAUGGAAUUCAUCUGGAUCUGUACUGUGUGUCUUGCGGACGUCAGCCUCCCGUCUUGAAACACGGACCAAGGAGUGUACCUUGCAUGCGAGUCGAAGGGACUGUAAUCCCGUAGGCGGAGCGAAAGCGAAGAUCAUGAAGUGUGUAUGCACGACAGUGGCACCCGCACUUGUGCGCGGUAGAGCAUGUAGGGUGCGACCCGAAAGAUGGUGAACUAUGCCUGGGCAAGGUGAAGCCAGUGGAAACGCUGGUGGAGGCCUGUAGCGAUUCUGACGUGCAAAUCGAUCGUGUGACCUGGGUAUAGGGGCGAAAGA